GGCCUGGCCUGGGCCCGGAGCCGCCCUCGCCCCGCGGGCCGCAGCAAAGCCCCGAGCCCGCCGGAGAAAUAAACUCUAACAGCGCUUUUUUGAACCCUCCGCGGGACAUAAACCCUCUGACACCGCCUUUUAGUGCUAGCGAGGAAGGAGGAAUUUGCAGCUGCCUGUGCUCGAGCAAGCUCCAUAUCUCUGUAUGGCUCCCUUCUGCCUCCUGUGAACAGUGAUAAUAUCACUUCUCUGCCUCCCAAGACUGCUAAGAACUGAAGCUCUGGGCUCCUCUGAGGAAGCAUGGAUGUUGAACAUGUGAGAAGAGUACCUCAAAAACCUCAUGCCUGGACACGUCAGUUCCUUGAUAGAAGAAAUACACGUUCAACAGUAUUUUGGAUGACUUCCAUUUCCAGUAAUGUUGUUGUACAUAGGAAAGGAGGGAUCUACACCACAUUCCUGAAACCUCAUCUGCAGGCUGGUUAAUCCACGCUUGUCCCUAACCUGUUUGGGACUCUCCGUGCUGC